rnacentral:rRNA from 1 species
GACAUAGGUGGCGAACGUUAUCCGGAUUUAUUGGGCGUAAAGGAUGCGUAGAUGGUGGAAUAAGUUAUUGGUCAAAGUCAAGCUCAACUUGGCGGAAGCUGGUAAUACUAUUCUACUCGAGGAUAGGAGAGGUUGGCGGAAUUCUGUGUGGAGCGGUGAAAUGCGCAGAUAUCAGGAGGAACACCGGUGGCGAAGGCGGGUCUCUGGGCCGAUACUGACGCUGAGGAGCGAAAGCGUGGGGAGCAAACAGG